UACGGGGGGGGCAAGCGUUGUUCGGAAUUACUGGGCGUAAAGGGCUCGUAGGUGGCCAACUAAGUCAGACGUGAAAUCCCUCGGCUUAACCGGGGAACUGCGUCUGAUACUGGAUGGCUUGAGUUCGGGAGAGGGAUGCGGAAUUCCAGGUGUAGCGGUGAAAUUCGUAGAUAUCGAGAGGAACACCGGUGGCGAAGGCGGCGAUCUGGACGAUGACUGACGCUGAGACGCGAAAGCGUGGGGAGCAAACAGG
rnacentral:rRNA from 1 species